AUGACCUGGGCUCUUCUCCUCCUCAGCUUCCUCAGUCAGGGUCCAGGGAGUCUGGCCCAGUCUGCCCUGACUCAGCCUCCCGCAGUGUCUGGAACGCCAGGACAGACGAUCACCAUCUCCUGUACUGGGACCAGCAAUGACGUUGGGGGAUAUGGCUAUGUCUCCUGGUACCAGCAGCAGGAGGGCACAGCCCCCAAAAUGCUGAUUUAUAAUGUCAACAAUCGGCCAUCAGGGAUCCCUGAUCGCUUCUCUGGCUCCAAGUUUGGCAACAUAGCUACCCUGACCAUCUCUGGGCUCAGACUUGAGGACGAGACUGAUUAUUACUGUUGCUCGUACAGGAGUGACGGCACAAGCACAGUGGUUCACCCUCAUAGGGAAGUGAGACAAAAACCUGCUCAGAGUUACCAAGCUCCUUUACUUCUGAAAUAUAAUAUUUUGGGGCUGGAGUGA